CCCCUAAAAUCUCCUCGCUGCUCUCUGAUCGGCGUCUACUGCCAAUCCCGUCGCCCCGCCUCUCGCUGCUAAUAUUUUCCCUCGUCUCAACACAAACCCUAAUCCCUAACAUUUCUCUCUCCAGCGCAACUCGAAACCCUAGGCGUCUUCCUGGUCUCCGACCAUGGAAGCAGUUCCGGGCGAGAACGGCGGCCUGGAGAAAACAGAGGGGAGGGGGAAGAAGCACAAGGGCAAGCACGACAAGGACAAGCCGUGGGACGACCCCAGCGUCGACCACUGGAAGAUCGAGAAGUUCGAUCCCUCCUGGAACGAUAGCGGCAUGCUCGAAGUCAGCUCCUUCUCCACUCUCUUCCCCCAGUACAGAGAAAAGUAUUUGCAAGAAGUAUGGCCUAUGGUGAAAAGUGCAUUAAAAGAGAACAGCAUUGCAUGUGAGCUCAAUCUGGUUGAGGGUUCCAUGACUGUCUCAACAACUCGGAAGACUAGGGAUCCGUAUAUCAUUAUCAAAGCUAGGGAUCUCAUAAAACUUUUGUCACGGAGUGUUCCUGCACCUCAGGCAAUCAAGAUCCUGAAUGAUGAUAUGAAUUGUGACAUUAUCAAGAUUGGUAACCUUGUGCGCAACAAGGAACGAUUCGUGAAAAGAAGAGAACGCCUUUUAGGCCCUAAUUUAUCAACUCUUAAGGCCAUUGAAAUUUUGACCGGAUGCUAUGUAUUGGUUCAGGGAAACACUGUUGCAGCCAUGGGGUCAUUUAAGGGUCUAAAACAGGUUCGUAGGAUCGUGGAAGAUUGCAUCCAAAAUGUGCAGCAUCCUGUGUACCACAUCAAGACCCUCCUGAUGAAGCGAGAGCUUGCCAAAAAUCCUGCACUAGCCAAUGAGAAUUGGGAUAGGUUUCUCCCAAAGUUUAAGAAGAAGAAUGUUAAGCAGCGGAAAGCGAAGGCUAAGGAGAAGAAACCUUACACACCGUUUCCUCCUCCACAGCAACCUAGCAAGAUUGACCUUCAAUUAGAAAGUGGUGAGUAUUUCAUGAGUGACAAAAGGAAAUCCGCAAAGAAGUGGCAAGAGAAGCAGCAGAAGCAGGCAGAGAAAACAGCUGAAAACAAGAGAAAGAGGGAGGCUGCAUUCAUUCCACCGAAGGAACCUUCUAGUCAUGUGGCUGAUUCUACUAAAUCUGACAAUGACAAUGAUGAGGUUGCAGCCAUGGCAAAGUCCUUAAAGAAGAAGGCAAAGGAGUUUAAGCAGCAGGAAGCCCAUGAAAAUGUCAAUGCUGAGUCAUAUAUUGUCAAUGCAGAAAAUGCGCGUUCUAAAAAGAAGCUGAAAUCUUCCAAGUCUAAUUAAUCAAAGGCCAGUUUCAAUCACAUGGAGAGAGGGGACAGGAUUGCUUUUUUCCUUUGAUUUUCUUUAUUGAAACAAAAGCACUGUGUUUUUGUCUUAUAAACCGAAAGGAGUAGAAGUGAAAGCUCAAUUUUCAGGUUGGCUGCUCUGCGACGCGAUGAUCCUAGUACUUUUUUUUUUUGAGCAACUGCUUCAUGCCGUCAUGGUGUUAAGAACUAACCAACAAUUAUAUGCUGUCUUGUAACACAUCAGUUUGAGGGUGUCAAAAUCAGUUGAACAGGUCGAGUGUUUUUAGCCUUUGUUCAUUGCAAAGACUGCAACGCUGAUGAGGGUUAUUAAUAGGAACUGGCAAUUGACAGGUUACUGGUUUGACGGGGGAAAACACAUGGUAGGAUUCCCGCUGCUUAGGAUUCAUGUAAAUAUAAAAGCUUUUGGUGUCAAUCCAAUCCACGGUAGUUGGGACCUUUACAAA